rnacentral:rRNA from 1 species
CGUGCCCCCGAGUCAGGGAUAGCUGCCCGAAAGGGCAGGUAAUACCUGAUGAGACCACGACCGGGCAUCCGGUUGUGCUCAAAGCAGCAAUGCGCUCAGGGAGCGGGCGAUAUCGUAUCAGCUAGUUGGUGAGGUAACGGCUCACCAAGGCGACGACGCGUAGCCGGACUGAGAGGUUGGCCGGCCACAUUGGGACUGAGACACUGCCCAG